rnacentral:rRNA from 1 species
CCUACGGGAGGCAGCAGUGAGGAAUAUUGGUCAAUGGCCGGAAGGCUGAACCAGCCAUGCCGCGUGAAGGUCAGUGCCCUAUGGGCGUUAAACCUCUUUUGUGCGGGAGCAAUAAUGGUCACGUGUGGCCAGACGAGAGUACCGUACGAAUAGGCAUCGGCUAACCCCGUGCCAGCAGCCGCGGUAAUACGGGGGAUGCAAGCGUUAUCCGGAUUUAUUGGGUUUAAAGGGUGCGUAGGCUGUGAGGUAAGUCAGCGGUGAAAUGCCCCCGCUCAACGGGGUGAAUUGCCAUUGAUACUGGCUUGCUGGAGUGCGGAUGACGUGGGAGGAAUGUGUGGUGUAGCGGUGAAAUGCAUAGAUAUCACACAGAACACCGAUUGCGAAGGCAUCUCACGAAUCCGCGAUUGACGCUGAUGCACGAAAGCGUGGGUAUCAAACAGGAUUAGAUACCCGGGUAGUC